GGAUAGUGUGCAGGUGGAGGGUAGUGUGUAGUAUAGUGUGUAGGUGUAGGGUGGUGUGUAGGAUAGUGUGCAGGUGGAGGGUAGUGUGUAGGAUAGUGUGCAGGUGGAGGGUAGUGUGUAGUAUAGUGUGCAGGUGGAGGGUAGUGUGUAG